rnacentral:tRNA from 1 species
AGAGAUGUGACUCAGCAGCAGAGUACCUGCCUAUCAAGCAUGUGUCUCUGAGUUUAAACCUCAAAAUCACCA